AUUGAACGCUGGCGGCAGGCCUAACACAUGCAAGUCGAGCGGAUGAAGGGAGCUUGCUCCUGGAUUCAGCGGCGGACGGGUGAGUAAUGCCUAGGAAUCUGCCUGGUAGUGGGGGAUAACGUCCGGAAACGGGCGCUAAUACCGCAUACGUCCUGAGGGAGAAAGUGGGGGAUCUUCGGACCUCACGCUAUCAGAUGAGCCUAGGUCGGAUUAGCUAGUUGGUGGGGUAAAGGCCUACCAAGGCGACGAUCCGUAACUGGUCUGAGAGGAUGAUAAGUCACACUGGAACUGAGACACGGUCCAGACUCCUACGGGAGGCAGCAGUGGGGAAUAUUGGACAAUGGGCGAAAGACUGAUCCAGCCAUGCCGCGUGUGUGAAGAAGGUCUUCGGAUUGUAAAGCACUUUAAGUUGGGAGGAAGGGCAGUAAGUUAAUACCUUGCUGUUUUGACGUUACCAACAGAAUAAGCACCGGCUAACUUCGUG
rnacentral:rRNA from 1 species